UCCCCUGGAAAGGAAGAGACAGCAGACCAGCUGGGGUCCCCACCUGAAGCUUGGGUUUCUCUCCUCUUCCAG
rnacentral:miRNA from 1 species